UACGUAGGGUGCAAGCGUUGUCCGGAAUUAUUGGGCGUAAAGAGCUCGUAGGCGGUUUGUUGCGUCGGCUGUGAAAUCCCGAGGCUCAACCUCGGGUCUGCAGUCGAUACGAGCAAACUAGAGUGUUGCAGGGGAGACUGGAAUUCCUGGUGUAGCGGUGAAAUGCGCAGAUAUCGGGAGGAACACCAGUGGCGAAGGCGAUCUUCUGGACGGAUACUGACGCUGAGGCGCGAAAGCUAGGGGAGCAAACGGG
rnacentral:rRNA from 1 species